rnacentral:misc_RNA from 1 species
AACGCACCUUGCGCCCCUUGGCAUUCCGAGGGGCACACCCGUUUGAGUGUCGUGAAAUUCUCAGAAACCUUUCUUUGGAAAGGAUUUUGGACUUGGAGGCCUUUUGCUGGUUUCACCUUGAAGCGAGCUCCUCCCAAAUGGAUUAGUGGGGUCUGCUUUGCUGAUCCUUGACGUGAUAAGAUGAUUUCUACGUCUUGGGUUUGGCACUGUCACUUGGGCACCCGCUUCUAACCGUCUUGUAGACAACGAUGGCGUUCCGGUCACCACCGUUUCAUCGGUGGGAGGCUUGACCCACCAAAAAACCUUGACCUCAAAUCGGGUGAGACUACCCGCUGAACUUAA